CGGCGUCCAGGGGCGUCCACUGUGAGGACGGAGCUUCCUCUCAGCACCCACCCAGGAGGGGCCGGGGCUUCGGGACACCCGAGGACUCCUGGGGCCGCCGGGAGAAAGACCCACCCGGGGCUUGGGACACCUGGGGCCGCGUCCGCUGUGAGGACAGGGAGACGCUGCUGCAGCUCCGGGACACCUGGGGCCGACCCUGGUACCGGGAGAGGAGGAGGAACGCGGAGACGCCGUAGGGCGGUCGGGAUGUUGGGGACUGGCAGGCGCCACAGCCUGAGGUCGAGGCAACAGGCGCCCCCGGAUCAGUGCUCAUUUUUUGUUUGGUUUUGUUUUUUUUGAGACGGACUUUCGCUCUUGUUUCCCAGGUUGGAGUGCAAUGGCGCGAUCUCGGCUCGCUGCAACCUCCGCCUCCCGGGUUCAAGCGAUUCUCCUGCCUCAGCCUCUCCAGUAGCUGGGAUAACAGGCAUGCGCCAGCACGCCCGGCUAAUUUUGUAUUUUUAGUAGAGACGCGGUUUCUCCAUGUUGGUCAGGCUGGUCUCGAACUGCCAACCUCAUCAGGUGAUCCACCCACCUCGGCCUCCCAAAGUGGUGGGAUUACAGGCGUCAGCCACCUGGCCUGGUCAGUGCUCCGUGUUUUCAGGCUCAUUUGUUAACAUAGUGGAAACAACACAGGAAAAUGGAAAAGUAGGCACAUCAUCAUGCUCACGCCACUGCACUCAAGCCCUGGGCAAGAGAGUGAGACCUUGUCUCAAAAAACAAAAAGAAAUGAAAACAAAACCAAAAAAAAAUUGUGUGCGUCUAAUGGAAGUGAACUCGUCAACAACAGUUUUUCUUUUAUUGAGAAAGUCUGUUUAAUUUGCAGUGUAUUUGUAAUGGUACAUAAAAUGACAUCUGUUUUAUAAACAUUCUCAUCCUAAAUUAGUUGAAAUGUAUUAACUAUAUCAAGCUUUGACAUGAUACCAUAAAAUUAAUUGAA
rnacentral:antisense_RNA from 1 species